rfam:Schistosoma mansoni strain Puerto Rico chromosome 6, complete genome
AUUCAGCUGACGAGUUGUAAAUGGAACGAAAUGCGCAUCCUGAAU